AGUGAACGCUGGCGGUAGGCCUAACACAUGCAAGUCGAACGGCAGCACAGUAAGAGCUUGCUCUUACGGGUGGCGAGUGGCGGACGGGUGAGGAAUACAUCGGAAUCUACUUUUUCGUGGGGGAUAACGUAGGGAAACUUACGCUAAUACCGCAUACGACCUACGGGUGAAAGCAGGGGAUCUUCGGACCUUGCGCGAUUGAAUGAGCCGAUGUCGGAUUAGCUAGUUGGCGGGGUAAAGGCCCACCAAGGCGACGAUCCGUAGCUGGUCUGAGAGGAUGAUCAGCCACACUGGAACUGAGACACGGUCCAGACUCCUACGGGAGGCAGCAGUGGGGAAUAUUAGACAAUGGGCGCAAGCCUGAUCCAGCCAUACCGAGUGGGUGAAGAAGGCCUUCGGGUUGUAAAGCCCUUUUGUUGGGAAAGAAAAGCAGCAGGUUAAUACCCCGCUGUUCUGACGGUACCCAAAGAAUAAGCACCGGCUAACUUCGUG
rnacentral:rRNA from 1 species